CAAAACCUGCAACACAUGCAAGGUAGAGCAGCCACAUAAGCUUCGGGUAAAAAAGAACUGAAGAAAUUUGAUCAGAAGCGGGAGAGCUGUGUGCAUGAUGAAGAUAUGGAAGAUAUGCUGGCCUGGAAGAAAACCAAAUGCUUGGGGGUCUGAGGUUUUGACACCCCAUUGUCACUUGACUGAGACAUCCAUUACAUGCUUGGAAAGAUUAAAGAACCUAUUCAAGGCGGGACCCCACAAGGUGUUGCAGAACAAGUCAAAAAAACCUCAUCAGCCCGAGUUGAAUCCCCAACUGGACCAACCUGAUCUCCAGGUACCAGUGGCCCUGCCUCAUACCAGAGCAGCUCCAACUGUACCACCAGCAGCCCUUAUUGGACCACCAAACUCCCCAAUUUGACAGCCAGUAUCCCUUUUAGGACCCUCAGGACACCAUGCAACCCCACUGCAGCAAUCUGGGAAAAGAAACCCAUUACCCAGAUGGACCCCCAAGAGCCUCCCCAGUUUCUCUUGGAAAAGAUGGUGUGAAAGAAGGCUUUCCAGCUCUGACUAGUGCGGCCAGAUCAAAGGAAAG